UAACAAAAUAUUGUUUGUAGGUAUUUUUUAAGUAGGCACCUACUCAUUGUGUGUCUAAUAUGAAAAUACAAAUUAGAUUUUAAUAGUUAACGUUAUAUAGGUACAAAUUUAGAUUUCGAACAGGGCUUUAAAGUUUAUAAAACUAUAUGAAUAUAAAGUAAACCCGUUAGAAAAUAAAAUUAAUAAAAAUACAUAUAUUUGUAUAAAUAUGUACGGGUACCGCAAAAUACUGCGCCGGGCCCCGAAAUCUGUCGGACCGGCACUGCCUGCUUUCCCAGUCAGAUUUCCUUUUCGAAUCUAAAAUCGUCAUUGCAAACAACGAGAAAAACGCGCACAGUCUGUACUUCACCAGUGUACGCCGUAUGGCGACUGUACGACAAUGACGUCACUGAAUCAUUAUCCCACUCCUACGUUUUCAAAAUUUCGGAACGAGGCGACCGGUGUUAUUUUUAAACCUUGAGUUACGGCACUAUCUACAGCUAGACAGAAAAAUUACAAACGUGGUUUUUUACUCGAAACCACAGUUUACAGAGAAAACUCUCACGCCUCGUAGAUUUAUCCGAUUUCAAUCAUUUUUUUUUUCUGUUAAAAAGUGGACGAUUUUUGGUUACAUUGCUAAAAACAAAAAUAUUAAAAAUUUAAAAACUUGUGAAAACUCGCACAAUUUAAACUCUUAUUGUAGGAUUUAUAAAUCAAAUUUUUUAAAUUAAAGUCCAAUGCGCCCUGUAAGAAGUCUUCAUCUUUCUAACAAAAAAUUAUUGAAAUCUGAUCAAUCUAUGAGGCGUGAGAGUUUCUCUCGUAAAGUAUGUUUUUGAGCAAAAAAACAGGUAGCUAAGUCGGAUAAAGUUUAAAGUAAACAAACACAAUAAUCGAAAUAAUCAAUUGUUUUAUAUUCCAAAUUACUCCCAAAGUUAUACGUCAUGUCGAAUCUGCACCCAAUAUAUAUUUUAACGUCUGGCAACCACGAAUUAAGAUGUAAAAAAUGUUAUGACGUAAGAAAACUCUUUACCGAUCAAUUUGCUGCGGCACACAAUUGGACUGGAGCAAAAGGAAUAAAAAACCUUUAUAGUGUUUAUGUUUGUCUAAGAUAAUCAUUGGUAAAAUAAUUGUAUUGAUUGUUUUAACAGCUUUUAUAUAAUUUAAUAUAAUCAUUCAUAUUUUUGUAUAGAUGCUGUUUUCAUAAACGCCAAAGAUUCAAAAGAGACUCUUAACAAGAACAUUAUUACUUGUAUCAAAAACUGGAUGAGACAUGCAGAAGCUAAAUUUUAUAAAAAAAAAUAAAUGAAUGCAGU